GCUACCGUAGCUUAACCAAAACCAAAGCACGACCCUGAAGUUGCCGUUAUGGAAAGCCCAUUUUCCCGGCAGCA
rnacentral:tRNA from 1 species